UAGCGGCAGGCUUAACACAUGCAAGUCGAGGGGUAACAGGAAAUAGCUUGCUAUUUUGCUGACGACCGGCGCACGGGUGCGUAACGCGUAUAGAACCUACCUUUUACAGGGGAAUAGCCCAGAGAAAUUUGGAUUAAUGCCCCAUAGUAUUAUUGAAUGGCAUCAUUUAAUAAUUAAACAUUUAUGGGUAAAAGAUGGCUAUGCGUUCUAUUAGCUAGAUGGUAAGGUAACGGCUUACCAUGGCAACGAUAGAUAGGGGUCCUGAGAGGGAGAUCCCCCACACUGGUACUGAGACACGGACCAGACUCCUACGGGAGGCAGCAGUGAGGAAUAUUGGACAAUGGAGGCAACUCUGAUCCAGCCAUGCCGCGUGCAGGAAGACGGCCCUAUGGGUUGUAAACUGCUUUUAUAUAGGAAGAAACCUUUCCACGUGUGGAGAGCUGACGGUACUAUAAGAAUAAGCACCGGCUAACUCCGUGC
rnacentral:rRNA from 1 species